rnacentral:rRNA from 1 species
GACGAACGCUGGCGGCCUGCUUAACACAUGCAAGUCGAACGGAAAGGCCCUGCUUUUGUGGGGUGCUCGAGUGGCGAACGGGUGAGUAACACGUGAGUAACCUGCCCUUGACUUUGGGAUAACUUCAGGAAACUGGGGCUAAUACCGGAUAGGAGCUCCCGCUGCAUGGUGGGGGUUGGAAAGUUUCGGCGGUUGGGGAUGGACUCGCGGCUUAUCAGCUUGUUGGUGGGGUAGUGGCUUACCAAGGCUUUGACGGGUAGCCGGCCUGAGAGGGUGACCGGCCACAUUGGGACUGAGAUACGGCCCAGACUCCUACGGGAGGCAGCAGUGGGGAAUAUUGCACAAUGGGCGGAAGCCUGAUGCAGCAACGCCGCGUGCGGGAUGACGGCCUUCGGGUUGUAAACCGCUUUCGCCUGUGACGAAGCGUGAGUGACGGUAAUGGGUAAAGAAGCACCGGCUAACUACGUG